rnacentral:rRNA from 1 species
AGAGUUUGAUCAUGGCUCAGAAUCAACGCUGGCGGCGUGCCUCAGACAUGCAAGUCGAACGCGAAAGUCCCCUUCGGGGGACAAGUAGGGUGGCGCACGGGUGAGUAACACGUAGGUAAUCUACCUUUGGAUGGGGAAUAACAACCGGAAACGGUUGCUAAUACCGCAUAAUGCAGCGGCACCUAAUGGUGACAGUUGUUAAAGCGGGGGAUCGAAAGACCUCGCGUCUAAAGAGGAGCCUGCGGCGGAUUAGCUAGUUGGUAAGGUAAUGGCUUACCAAGGCUACGAUCCGUAACCGGCCUGAGAGGGCGGUCGGUCACACUGACACUGACAUACGGGUCAGACUCCUACGGGAGGCAGCAGUCGGGAAUUUUGGGCAAUGGGCGAAAGCCUGACCCAGCAACGCCGCGUGAAGGAUGAAAUCCCUCGGGAUGUAAACUUCGCAAGAACGGGAAGAAUAAGUAGGGGACAAUACCCCCUAUGAUGACGGUACCGUUUGUAAGCUCCGGCUAACUCCGUGCCAGCAGCGGCGGUAAUAC